GCCAGUAACCAGCAGGUAGCCUAGUGGUUAGAGCGUUGGGCCAGUAACCAGCAGGUAGCCUAGUGGUUAGAGCGUUGGGCCAGUAACCAGCAGGUAGCCUAGUGGUUAGAGCGUUGGGCCAGUAACCAGCAGGCAGCCUAGUGGUUAGAGCGUUGGGCCAGUAACCAGCAGGGUAGCCUAGUGGUUAGAUCGUUGGGACAGUAACUGAAAGGCUGCUGGAUUGAAUCCUAGAGCCGACAAGGUAAAAAUCCGUCAUUCUGCCCAUCAGCAAGGCAGUUAACCAACAACAACAACUGCUCUCGCGUGACGUGGACGUGAAUUAAGGCCCCACACCUCUCUGAUUCAGAGGAAGACACAUUUCAAUCAAAUGCAUUCAGUUGUACAACGAGCUAGGCAUCCCCCAGGGUGGCUGUCAUACUGUUGAUGACCACUAGGUGGUACCAAUACCCUGUAUCUCUCUGAGGCUGUAAUACUGUUGAUGACCACUAGGUGGUGCCAACACCCUGUAUCUCUCUGAGGCUGUAAUACUGUUGAUGACCACUAGGUGGUGCCAAUACCCUGUAUCUCUCUGAGGCUGUCAUACUGUUGAUGACCACUAGGUGGUGCCAAUACCCUGUAUCUCGCUGAGGCUGUAAUACUGUUGAUGACCACUAGGUGGUACCAAUACCCUGUAUAUCUCUGAGGCUGUAAUACUGUUGAUGACCACUAGGUGGUGCCAACACCCUGUAUCUCUCUGAGGC
rnacentral:lncRNA from 1 species